AUGGCGCAGGAGAGUAAGCCGGCGCUCGGGUGGGCGGCCAGAGACGCCUCCGGUCUCCUCUCCCCCUACAGCUUCUCACGAAGGGUUCAGAAGGAGGACGAUGUGACGAUCAGGGUGCUCUUCUGCGGGAUCUGCCACACGGACCUGCACGUCGCCAAGAACGAGUGGGGCAACGCCAUGUACCCCAUUGUUCCAGGGCAUGAGAUCGUCGGCGUCGUCACCGGCGUGGGCCGCGGCGUCCGGGGCUUCAAGGCCGGCGACAGGGUGGGCGUGGGCUCCUUCGUCGGCUCCUGCCGCGCGUGCGAGAGCUGCGUCAAGGGGUACGAGAACAACUGCCCCGCCCUCCUGCUCACCUGCAACGGCGUGGACUGCGACGGCGCCACCACUCAGGGGGGAUUCGCCGACGUCCUCGUCGUCAACCAGGACUACGUCCUCCGCGUCCCGGAGGGCCUGCCACCGGCCGGGGCAGCGCCUCUCCUCUGCGCCGGCGUCACGGUGUACAGCCCCAUGGUGCAGUACGGCCUGAACGCGCCGGGGAUGCUCCUUGGCGUCGUCGGCCUGGGCGGCCUCGGCCACAUGGCCGUCAAGUUCGGCAAGGCGUUUGGGAUGACGGUCACCGUGAUCAGCUCGUCGCCGAGGAAGCGCGCGGAGGCGGUCGAGCGCCUCGGUGCCGACAACUUCCUGGUCAGACACGACGCCGAAGAGAUGAAGGCAGCGGCGGGCACGAUGGACGGCAUCAUCGACACGGUGUCGGCGGGGCACCAGCUGCUGCCGCUGCUGGAGCUGCUGAAGCCGAUGGGGCAGAUGGUGCUGGUGGGCGUGCCGACCGAGCCCAUGGUGCUGCCGGCCUCGGCCAUCGUCACGGGCGGGAAGCGCCUGGCCGGGAGCGGCGUGGGCAGCGUCCGCGACUGCCAGGCAAUGCUGGACUUCGCGGGGGAGCACGGCAUCGCCGCGGAUGUCGAGGUCGUCAAGAUGGAGUAUGUUAACACGGCCAUGGAGCGACUCGAGAGGAACGAUGUCAGGUACCGCUUCGUCAUCGACGUCGCUGGCAGCAUCGGCUGCGCCGCGGUUUAG
rnacentral:rRNA from 1 species